UCUUCAGCGCUGCUUCAUUCGUCCCGAGCCGCGCUGAAGUAAGGGUGUAGGCAGUUUGAGACUCGGCCGAUAUGAGACAACAUAGUAAGGCAAUAUAUGAAUAUUCAUUAGCCGGGCGGUGCUGCGGGCAGGGCGGCGGUUACAACACAGUGGCAGUUGAAGGCAGUAACCCCGCCUUUGCCAGUUAAGUGCUAAUUUUAAUACACAGAAAAAGACCUGUAAUGGGCAAACGGCGCAGCGGAUCCAGGCAAGCCCAGUACCAUAAAUGUUACUCUGGAGAACAAUGAAGCCAUUUGGUCUGGUCACCAGGGGUAUGUGUCCUAGACCUUCUGCCUGGUUUCCUGGGUGUCCCGGCUAUGGAGAUAACCAGGUUCAAUUGUAACUCAGUCCAAAAAUCCUAUUAGAUGGGAGCCGGGAAGAUGAAGAGAGCCAGCUGUAGCUCACAGUAUAAAGAUGAGGAGAAAACUCCAUUCACAGCGCGUGAGUCAUAGCCGCCGCAGUGGUAUAAGUAUAUACCGUACCAAUGUACCAUAAUUCAAGGAUAAUGAAAACAAAGGAAUAAAUAUA